rnacentral:rRNA from 1 species
GACCGUGCAAAGGUAGCAUAAUCAUUUGCCUUAUAAUUGAAGGCUAGUAUGAAUGGUUUGACGAGAAUUAAGCUGUCUCUUUACAAUUAAAUAUAAUUUUAUUUACAGGUGAAGAAGCCUGUGUUUUAUUGAAAGACAAGAAGACCCUAUCGAGCUUUAAAAAAUUUAGUAGACUUAUCUUAUAUUAAUAAAAAUAUAAGGCUAUUAAAAAUUUUGGUUGGGGCGACUGAGGAACAAAUAAAGCUUCCUUUAUAGUUAAAAACUUACAAGUAUUGAUCCAAUAAAUUUGAUUAAAGGAAUUAGUUACCGUAGGGAUAACAGCAUAAUCUUCUUUGAGAGCUCCCAUCGAAAAGGAGGUUUGUGACCUCGAUGUUGGACCAGAAUACCCAGAAGAUGCAGCUGUCUUCAAAGGUUGGUCUGUUCGACCAUUAAA